GGCAAGCGUUAUCCAGAUUAAAUGGGCGUAAAGGGAACGCAGGCGGUCUUUUAAGUCACAUGUGAAAGCCUUCGUCUUAACCGGAGGAGUGCAUUGGAAACUGGGAGACUUGAGUGCAGAAGAGGAGCCCGGAACUCCAUGUGUAGCGGUGAAAUGCGUAGACCCCUUGAGGAACANNAGUGGNGAAAGAGGNUAUAUGGUNAGUAANNGACGNAGAGGUUCGAAAGCGUGGGGGGCCCCUCGAUGUAGAUNNNNNGGNAGUNCANGCAAGAAACGGACCCUGAUGAAUUGGAGGGUUCCGCCCCCCAAAAAAGCAGCUAACGCAAUAAGCAUUCCGCCUGGGGAGUACGACCGCAAGGUUGAAACUCAAAGGAAUUGACGGGGGCCCGCACAAGCGGUGGAGCAUGUGGCUUAAUUCGAAGCAACGCGAAGAACCUUACCAGGUCUUGACAUCUUUUGACAAUCCUAGAGAUAGGACUUUCCCUUCGGGGACAAAAUGACAGGUGGUGCAUGGUUGUCGUCAGCUCGUGUCGUGAGAUGUUGGGUUAAGUCCCGCAACGAGCGCAACCCUUAUUGUUAGUUGCCAGCAUUAAGUUGGGCACUCUAGCAAGACUGCCGGUGACAAACCGGAGGAAGGUGGGGAUGACGUCAAAUCAUCAUGCCCCUUAUGACCUGGGCUACACACGUGCUACAAUGGACGGUACAACGAGUCGCAAGACCGCGAGGUUUAGCAAAUCUCUUAAAGCCGUUCUCAGUUCGGAUUGUAGGCUGCAACUCGCCUACAUGAAGUCGGAAUCGCUAGUAAUCGC
rnacentral:rRNA from 1 species